rnacentral:rRNA from 1 species
GAGGACAGCCAUAGUAAUCAGGAAACACCUGUUCCCGUUCCGAACACAGAAGUUAAGCUGGUUACGUUGCGUGUAUUAGUUUCCUAGCGGAAGUGAAGCACUGAUGCUGUCUCUU